AUGAAUCGGCAAAUCUUCGAUCAGAGGUUAAAACCAACAAAAACUUGCUUAGAAGCAGUAAAUAGCUUUGUUAGUGUUUAUAUGGUCAAAAUGUGUCAUAAUCCAAAGCCUUUGACUAAGUAUAAGAGUUAGAGAUGGAUUAGGAGUGUUUAGACAACACUUAUACCCAUUUUUUUCCAAAAGAGGCUAAAACCAACAAAAUUUGCUUAGAAGCAGUAAAUAGCUUUGUUAGUGUUUCUAUGGUCAAAAUGUGUCACAAUCCAAUGCAUUUGACUAAUGAUAGGAGUUUGAGAUGGAUUAGGAGUGUUUAGACAACACUUAUACCCAUUUUCUCCCAAAAGAGGCUAAAACCAACAAAAAAUUGUUUCGAAACAGUAAACAGUUUUGAUAGUGUUUUUAUGGUCAAAAUGUGUCACAAUCCAAUGCAUUUGACUAAUGAUAAGAGUUUGAGAUGGAUUUGGAGUGUUUCGACAACACUUAUACCCAUUUUCUCCCAAAAGAAGCUAGAACCAACAAAAUAUUGCUUAGAAACAGUAACCAGUUUCGAUAGUGUUUUUAUGGCAAAAUGUGUCACAAUCCAAUGCAUUUGUAUAUUAUAAGAGUUAGAGAUGGAUUAGGAGUGUUAAGACAAUACUUAUACCCAUUUUCUCCCAAAAGAGGCGAAAACCAACAAAAAAUUGUUUAGAACCAGUAAAUAGUUUUGUUAGUGUUUCUAUGGUCAAAAUAUGUCACAAUCCAAAGCCUUUGACUAAUUAUAAGAAUUAGAGAUGGAUUAGGACUGUUUAGACAACACUUAUACCCAUUUUCUCCUAAAACAGAUUAAAACCAACAAAAAAUUGCUUAAAAGCAGUAAACAGUUUUGUUAGUGUUUUUAUGGUCAAAAUGUGUCAAAAUUCAAUGCAUUUGACUAAUUAUAAGAGUUAGAGAUGGAUUAGGAGUGUUUAGACAACACUUAUACCCAUUUUCUCUCAAAAGAGGCUAAAACCAACAUAAAAUUGCUUAGAACUACUAAACAGUUUUGUUAGUUUUUUUAUGGUCAAAAUGUGUAAGAAUCCAAUGCAUUUGACUAAUUAUAAGAGUUAGAGAAGGAUUAGGAGUGUUUAGACAAUACUUAUACCCAUUUUCUCCCAAAAGAGGCUAAAACCAACAAAAAAUUGCUUAGAAGCAGUAAACAGUUUUGUUAGUGUUUUUAUGGUCAAAAUGUUUCAGAACCCAAUGCAUUUGACUAAUUAUAAGAGUUAGAGAUGGAUUAGGAGUGUUUAGACAACAGUUAUACCCAUUUUCUCCCAAAAGAGGCUAAAACAAACAAAAAUUGUUUUGAAACAGUAGACAACUUUGUUAGUGUUUUUAUGGUCAAAAUGUGUCACAAUCCAAUGCAUUUGACUAAUUAUAAGAGUUAGAGAUGGAUUAGGAGUGUUUAGACAACACAUAUACCCAUUUUCUCUUAAAACAGGCUAAAACCAACAAAAAAUUGCUUGAAGCAGUAAAUAGCUUUGUUAGUGUUCUUAUGGUCAAAAUGAGUCACAAUCCAAAGCCUUUGACUAAAUU
rnacentral:sRNA from 1 species